rnacentral:hammerhead_ribozyme from 1 species
AUCCAGAUGACGAGUCCCAAAUAGGACUAAAUGUGCAUCCUGGAU